AAGUCGUAACAAGGUAACCGUAGGUGAACCUGCGGUUGGAUCAUUAAAAAAAAUUGAAGCUUCAACCCUUUCAAAAGGGUAGAAGGUCAGCGCUCCUUUAACAAGGAGCUUGACUACUCCAAUUUUGUGAACUUGCAACCAAAAAAAUGUUUUGAUAGUGGUGAAAGAUUUGGGCCUUACAGCCCAAGUUUUUCCCUUCUUGAAAAAUUAUUAUUAACCCUGAAGAAAUAACUUGUCUUUACCGUUUUUUAUAAAUAAAAAUUAAUAAACAACUUUUGACAACGGAUCUCUAGGCUCUC
rnacentral:misc_RNA from 1 species